GCCCUACGGGGCGCAGCAGUGAGGAAUAUUGGUCAAUGGGCUUACGCCUGAACCAGCCAAGUCGCGUGAGGGAAGACUGCCCUACGGGUUGUAAACCUCUUUUGUCAGGGAGCAAUUGGCGCUACGUGUAGCGUUAUCGAGAGUACCUGAAGAAAAAGCAUCGGCUAACUCCGUGCCAGCAGCCGCGGUAAUACGGAGGAUGCGAGCGUUAUCCGGAUUUAUUGGGUUUAAAGGGUGCGUAGGCGGAAUGCCAAGUCAGCGGUAAAAUCGCGGGGCUCAACCUCGCUCCGCCGUUGAAACUUGCG
rnacentral:rRNA from 1 species